AAAAACAGAAAUUUGGAAGUUCGCGAAAACUGUACAGCAGCGCCUUGCUGCUUGUGCAAAUUCGAUUUCCCGAAGUGGUGCGUUCAAUGAAGAAAAAAUAGUUGACUGCAAAAAUCAGUGAAACUCGCCACCGCCUUAAAUAGCAAGAUUUGGAUUACCUGCAAAUGGGACUGCAAAUUGGAACAUUUUGGCCGGAUCCGGAGCAACCGAACCCACCUUCGCUAACGGCUUUACGUGCAACAAAAUAGGCUGUACUGGUCAUACCUUCCGGAAUCGUAGCAGUAUCUGAAGUGUGAAGUCGUGAAGCUGCUGGGUUUAACCCAUCAGCAAAGAUGUCGCCGGCGGCCCAGAGGCCAAGAGGCAGAACUGUUUGUGAACUUUUGCAUACAGUCAAACCUCCGAGAGCCGAUAUUUAGAGGGUUCAAGUAUGGAGCAGAAA